AAAAACGUAACAAGGUCUCCGUUGGUGAACCAGCGGAGGGAUCAUUA
rnacentral:rRNA from 1 species